GACAUAGGUGGCAAACGUUAUCCGGAAUUAUUGGGCGUAAAGGGCGCGUAGGCGGUCUUGUAAGUCUUGUGUGAAAUCCCUCGGCUUAACUGAGGAACUGCACGAGAUACUGCGAGACUUGAGUUCGGGAGAGGAAAGCGGAAUUCCGGGUGUAGCGGUGAAAUGCGUAGAUAUCCGGAGGAACACCGGUGGCGAAGGCAGCUUUCUGGACCGACACUGACGCUGAGGCGCGAAAGCUAGGGGAGCAAACGGG
rnacentral:rRNA from 1 species